CAAACUAAUGAUGAAUUCACUACUGCCCCAGUUUAAUCACUGUGACUGAUAGGUGUUUUCUGAGCUGUG
ensembl:snoRNA SNORD31 Small nucleolar RNA SNORD31